GGUCAAUUGGCCAAGCGGUCCAAGGCACCAGUUGAAGGCAACAGUCCGAAAGGGCGUGGGUUCGAAUCCCACAUUGGCCA
rnacentral:tRNA from 1 species